rnacentral:rRNA from 1 species
AAUGAACGCUGGCGGCGUGCUUAACACAUGCAAGUCGAACGGUAACAGGGACUUCGGUCUGCUGACGAGUGGCGCACGGGUGAGUAAUGCAUAGGUGACGUACCCCUUAGUCUGGGAUAGCCAUUGGAAACGAUGAUUAAUACUGGAUACUCCUUCUUACGUGAGGUAAGACGGGAAAGGCUUUUCACUAAGGGAUCGGCCUAUGUCGUAUCAGCUUGUUGGUGAGGUAAUGGCUCACCAAGGCGAUGACACGUAGCGGGUUUGAGAGGAUGAUCCGCCACACUGGUACUGAGACACGGACCAGACUCCUACGGGAGGCAGCAGUGAGGAAUAUUGCACAAUGGGCGAAAGCCUGAAGCAGCAACGCCGCGUGGAGGAUGACGCAUCUCGGUGUGUAAACUCCUUUUAUCAGGGAAGAACAUGACGGUACCUGAUGAAUAAGCACCGGCUAACUCCGUGCCAGCAGCCGCGGUAAUACGGAGGGUGCAAGCGUUAUUCGGAAUCACUGGGCGUAAAGGACGCGUAGGCUGGUCUCUAAGUCAGAUGUGAAAUCCGAUGGCUCAACCAUCGAACUGCAUUUGAAACUGGGGACCUAGAGUAUGGAAGGGGCAGAUGGAAUUAGUGGUGUAGGGGUAAAAUCCGUAGAUAUCACUAGGAAUACCGAAAGCGAAGGCGAUCUGCUGGGACAUUACUGACGCUGAGGCGUGAAAGCGUGGGGAGCAAACAGGAUUAGAUACCCUGGUAGUCCACGCCCUAAACGAUGGACACUAGUCGUCGGGGAGCUUGUCUCUUCGGUGAUGCACUUAACAGAUUAAGUGUCCCGCCUGGGGAGUACGGUCGCAAGAUUAAAACUCAAAGGAAUAGACGGGGACCCGCACAAGUGGUGGAGCAUGUGGUUUAAUUCGAAGAUACGCGAAGAACCUUACCUGGCCUUGACAUUGAGAGUAUCUUCCAGAGAUGGAGGAGUGCUAGUUUACUAGAGCUUGAAAACAGGUGCUGCACGGCUGUCGUCAGCUCGUGUCGUGAGAUGUUGGGUUAAGUCCCGCAACGAGCGCAACCCUCGUCCUUAGUUGCCAGCAG